rnacentral:rRNA from 1 species
CUACGGGUGGCUGCAGUGGGGAAUUUUGGACAAUGGGGGCAACCCUGAUCCAGCCAUUCCGCGUGAGUGAAGAAGGCCUUCGGGUUGUAAAGCUCUUUUGUCCGGAGCGAAACGGGCGGCCCUAAUACGGUCGUCUACUGACGGUACCGGAAGAAUAAGCACCGGCUAACUACGUGCCAGCAGCCGCGGUAAUACGUAGGGUGCGAGCGUUAAUCGGAAUUGCUCGCCGUAAAGCGUGCGAGCGCGGUUUGAAAGCCCCGGGCUCAACCGUGGAAUGGCAUUUGGGACUGCAAGGCUUGAGUGUGGCAGAGGGGACUAGAAUUCCUGGUGUAGCAGUGAAAUGCGUAGAUAUCAGGAGGAAUACCGAUGGCGAAGGCAGGUCCCUGGGUUAACACUGACGCUCAUGCACGAAAGCGUGGGGAGCAAACAGGAUUAGAUACCCCAGUAGUC